GGGCCCGCACAAGCGGUGGAGUAUGUGGUUUAAUUCGAUGCAACGCGAAGAACCUUACCAGGGUUUGACAUCCUGCGAAUCUCUUGGAAACAGGAGAGUGCCUUCGGGAAUUGUGAUACAGGUGCUGCAUGGCUGUCGUCAGCUCGUGUCGUGAGAUGUUGGGUUAAGUCCCGCAACGAGCGCAACCCUUGUCCUUAGUUACCAGCGGGUUAAGCCGGGAACUCUAAGGAUACUGCCAGUGACAACUGGAGGAAGCGGGGACGACGUCAAGUCAUCAUGGCCCUUACGACAGGGCUACACACGGUGCUACAAUGGUAGGUACAGAGGGCAGCUACACAGCGAUGUGAUGCGAAUCUCAAAAGCCUAUCGUAG
rnacentral:rRNA from 1 species